AGAAUUAGAAAUUAGAAUAACAAAUAAAAAUAUAAUUAGGAUAAUAGAUUUUGUGUUUUGUAAUUAAGAAUCCUAAUCAGUCGGUUCAGUUCAAUUUUAAAGUUAACAAUUAAAUAAAUUAAAUAAAUUAAAAUUUUUGUAAAUUAUAUCUAAAUUUUAAAAUUAUAUGUUAAUUUUAAAUAAUAAUUAAAUAAUUAAAAAUAUUUAUUAUUAAUUGAGACCUAUCUAACGCUAUUAGAUAAAAUGGAGUUGAGAAAAAAGCAUAUAGGGAUAUGCUUUUGUGUUCUUCGGUGGAACCGUUAUCAUAAUUGACUUAUCGCGAUAUGUGGAACGCAAUAUUACAUACGGAAACAAACAGAAUAUUUUUUCACCGUACUUUAUCACCGCACGUAACGCUAUCUCCCCGCAAUUCCAAACGAAGCCUUAAGAACUUAACCACAGCGCUUUACGGGCUUUGGCCCGAUUCAACCCAUCUGAACUUUAGAUUUAUUGUAGACUGCAAUCCUACUCAACUUAUUAGGCUAAUCCAAUUCAAUUUGUUAGUCUUCUAGACCCGUUGUUACCUGACAAAAAGUUUGAUCUAUUACAGCUGAUAAUUAAUAGUCAACACAUAGUUUAGAUAAGUUUUAUUCCAUCUUACCCUAGAUUUAUUCGGCAGAGAUGUUUGAAGGAAACUUGACAACCACGAGCCAUACUGAGCCUCACAAUGGCCAUGGUCCCCCUCGACUUCUAAAACUUAUAUAUAAGUCUUUUAUAGUGAAAAGUAAAAUAUUACAAAUUUUUGUUUUAGUGGGGGCAAAAUUAAUUCUUUUUUAAAUAAAAUUUGUGUUUUAAUUUUUUUUCGAACCGUCGGCUCUUUUCCUUCAGUCCUUAUAGUCUUUCUCCUCUCGGAGCACAUUAUCACUGUUGUCGCCAGCAAUAGAUAACCAGUGAACCUGACAAAUUUUGUUUUUUACUAUCUGAAGUUGAUUUUUUUUUUUUCUGCCAAAUCUAAAUCUGACCUUUCCUGAACCU
rnacentral:lncRNA from 1 species